rnacentral:rRNA from 1 species
UACGGAGGGUGCGAGCGUUGUCCGGAAUCACUGGGCGUAAAGGGCGCGUAGGCGGCCUGCUAAGUCGAACGUGAAAUCCCCGGGCUCAACCCGGGAACUGCGUCCGAUACUGACAGGCUUGAAUCCGGGAGAGGGAUGUGGAAUUCCAGGUGUAGCGGUGAAAUGCGUAGAUAUCUGGAGGAACACCGGUGGCGAAGGCGGCAUCCUGGACCGGUAUUGACGCUGAGGCGCGAAAGCGUGGGGAGCAAACAGG